rnacentral:misc_RNA from 1 species
UACAGAGGGUGCGAGCGUUGUUCGGAAUUAUUGGGCGUAAAGCGCAAGUAGGCGGCCCUGUAAGUCGCGUGUGAAAGCUCCCGGCUCAACCGGGAAAGUGCGCGCGAAACUGCAGGGCUUGAGUCCCGGAGAGGGUGGCGGAAUUCCCGGUGUAGAGGUGAAAUUCGUAGAUAUCGGGAGGAACACCAGAGGCGAAGGCGGCCACCUGGAAGGGUACUGACGCUGAGAGGCGAAAGCGUGGGGAGCAAACAGG